rnacentral:rRNA from 1 species
UAUACAAAGGUAUUGAAAUAAGACUUUAAUUGAGUGCUAAGAGAAUGGAUUUUCAGAAAAUUUCUUUUUUAAAAUUAAUAAUUUAAUUUAUUUUUGUUUGUGAAGAAGCAACAAUAAAAAUUUAGGACAAGAAGACCCUAAGAAUUUUUAAAAAAUAAUUUUAAAUUUAAAAUUAUUUUUUUUAAUUGGGGCGAUUAAUAAAUAUAACUAACUUUAUUUAAAAUAAAUAUGAACCAUUAUUAAUGGUUAAAUGAAUAAAAAUACUCUAGGGAUAACAGCGUAAUAAUUUUUGAUAGUUCUUAUAGACAAAAUAGUUUGCGACCUCGAUGUUGGAUUAGGAUUCUUAUUUAAUGAAGAAGUUAAAAAAAGAAGUUUGUUCAACUUUUAAAUUCCUACUUGAUC